rnacentral:rRNA from 1 species
GACGAACCGUGCGAACGUUGUUCGGAAUCACUGGGCUUAAAGGGCGCGUAGGCGGGCUGACAAGUCUGGGGUGAAAUGCCGCGGCUCAACCGUGGAACUGCCUCAGAUACUGUCGGCCUCGAGGAAGGUAGGGGCAUGCGGAACAUUGGGUGGAGCGGUGAAAUGCGUUGAUAUCCAAUGGAACUCCGGUGGCGAAAGCGGCGUGCUGGACCUUUUCUGACGCUGAGGCGCGAAAGCUAGGGGAGCAAACGGG